rnacentral:rRNA from 1 species
GCAUAAUCAUUUGUUCUUUAAUUGGGGACUGGAAUGAACGGAUAUACGAAACUAAGACUGUCUCUUUUUAGUUACUAAAAAUUGUAUUUUAAGUGAAGAUACUUAAAUUUUAAUGAAAGACAAAAAGACCCUAUUGAGCUUUAUUAUUUAUAAGAUUUUUUAGAAAUAUUUACUUUUGUACUUAAAAAUAAUUUGGUUGGGGCAACAAAGAAAUAUAAAAAUUUUUCUUGAUUAUAUAGAAUUAUAAUUCUUAAUAAUAGAUCUGUUUUUAAUGAUAAAGAGAAAAAGUUACCAUAGGGAUAACAGGCUAAUUCUUUUGGAGAGUUCAAAUUGAUAAGAGAGU